AUCAGAAACUCUUCACACGUUAAUCUCUUAUAAGUAAAUUCCUUUUUCUCUGAAUUAGGGUAUUUCUUUAUGUCCAGA
rnacentral:sRNA from 25 species